UUGUUUUCAUCGGUUUUUUCCUUCAUUUUUAUCUGACACGGUGCAGUUGACACUUAUCGGUUGGUGGCCUUGCUCGAUCCCGAUGUGGGGAAUUUUUUGGCGGUUUUUCGUGUGACGCACCUGUCUUUUUUAUUUUGCCAUUCCGUCAAUUCAUCGAGUAUUGAGAGCACUUGGUGUGAUCAUCUUGUCUUUCGAAGACAUUUUAGUCACGGGUGUAUCUUUCUACGUCUGUCUUAUGAGAAGUUUCACGCUGAGUUUUUGACAAUCUCUCCAGAAUUUUUGACGUAGGAUGAGGCACCUGCGUUGUCAUUCUAACCAGCCAAACCUCUAAACCAACAUCAAACGUCCACAUGCCUUGUGUGUUGACAGGUAGGCAUAUUGGCAGACGAACGAGACGAAAACCCGUCGCGAUACACAUCCUCUGCGCCAUCAGUCUGGGACUGAGUCCGCCGGCGGCGGGAUGGGACUUGUGUGUGUCAGAUCAGGCGAUAUCGCGCAGCCAAAACCGAGGGCCUUCGAGAAGACCAUGUACCUGUCAUUUCUACGUGACCGUGUCAUUCUCCUCUCGUCCUUGUCUCACGGCCUACCCACGACAUUUAUAUAUUAUAUUAUCUAUUCUCAGGUCUCAUUUUUUUUCAUAUGAAUGAAUUAUUUCAUUAUUUUUUGUUAUUCGAUCUAAGAUUUUGCUCUGUCAUUUUAUUCUCGUUAUCUUGGGCCUGAAAAAAAUGCCGAGACACUGGGCACCAGCAGAUGGCACCUGACAACUUUAUUUCACGUUUUUUUUCCUGGUGCACAUAACAUUUAGUGUGAAAAAAAUUUUUGGUUAUGAACGGAAGUUGUAUAGUCGUCUGGAUUUUGGAUUUUCUAAUUUUGCUUAGAAAUAUUGUAAAAUGGUGUGAAACGUAAAAAGACAAAAUUUGAUGAUCUGAUGUGUAUGUGGUCGAUAAACUUUGUUGAGAGUGCUUUAUAUGUGUGGACAAAAAUUAAUCGUCUGUCUAUAGCUGUUUUCAGUCCAUCUCAAUAUGUUAUAAUUUUUAUACUUUUUCUCCGAACAGCACCGAAAUGUUUAGAAUGGUUUUAAUAAAUAGAAACAGAAAGGAAUUAAUGAACAAAGGCCUUUUGUCGAAUGGGUCUAGAGCAGUGUCUCGCAAACUGUGUGCCGCGGGAGAAUGGUAAGUGUGCCGCAAAACAUUUUCCAAGUUGCACUAGAUAUUCUGAGAUUAAUCUAAAAACCAAUUUCUGAUAACUAUAAAAUUACCCAAAAAAUAGUCAUUUAACUUUAACUAAAUUAGCCAGAACGCAGGUACUCGUAUUUGCCCUCCCAAACUUUGUCGUAACAACAAGAUGCACAAGCGAGGGGGUACGAAUAAUGCAAAUUUGUUCCCAGAAACAAGCCCAUCCAUCACAUUAAGCUUAAAAUAAGAAUAUGUUCCUUUCUAUUGUACCAAAUAUUAAUUAAUGUAGCGAUUUGAAAAAACCAAUUUUUUAAAUUAUUUUAAAUAUACAUUUUCUUCCGAAAAUUUAUUUAGCUUAGUGUGCCGCGGAAAAAAAAUUCCUCAGUUAGCGUGCCGCAGACUAAAAAAGUUUGCGAGACACUGGUCUAGAGUGUGAAAUGUUUGGUCACUAAGAGUCAGUUGAUCUGUCUGGAGACAUCAUACCAGAAAGAUAUACCUUCUGCGUGCGAUCAUAAAUAAUUAAAGUUGAUAGUUAAAUCGUUUUAUAUUGUUAAGACAAUCCCUAUUCCAUAAUCCAACACCAUCAAUAACGUGAAAUUAAGAUGAUGGGGAAUAAAAAAAUCACAGUCAAAUUGUCUCCAAACAGACUAUCGUUUUUAUGUUAAUACUCUUUCGCAACAUAAUUUCGUAGCAGACUUUUAAAAUAUUUACCGAGCACUUUUUAUCCUUUUUCAUUGUGCCAUAAGCACAACUUGCUACAUCAAAUGUAGAAAAUAAGAAAAAUUUUAUUUCACUUUGAAACUGAUGUGAAUCAGGGUUCCGCCUGUAUGUCACACUCAAAAAUAUCUUGAAAAAACAGUUUUGAAUUUUUUCAGCGGAAGAAUAACCUUUUUUCAUGCGGACAGAAAAAAAAUUUUUAACGCGGAUGUCAUGCGAGCGAAGGUAAAAUAUCUGAGGGGUCCAGGUACAUGGAACCACCGAGGAUGUCCCUUGGGGAAUACGGAAAUGCUCUUGGGAUACGUCAAGACGUUACAGAACUAUGUCUACAUGGACCCACACUUUGUGUACUCUGAACUUCCCAAAAUAUCUCGUAGUAUCCCCGAGGAUUCGUAUUCGCAGUCACGGAUUUCAAAAUAUUGUAUUUUUUCCAGGAUAUUAGUUCAACUUUUUAUCGUUCGAGGUGGUCCUAGAACGAUGAAACAUCAGUCGAAAUACUUCUUUUAUUGGAUAAAAUUGCCUUCUGCAAGUUAUCAUUGUCUAAUUUCUCAUGCGAUUUUUACACGUUUUAUUAAAAAACUUGAGUAAUGACAUUGGAAAAAUUAAUGAAUAACAGUAUUUUCGCAGGAGUCGUCUCUGCUUUUCUCCUUUAGUUGUCACUCGGUUUUAUGCGGAGAUCCUCGGGGACAGAUACAUCAAUGUGAGAAGAAAAAACAUAAAGACCCGUCGCGCCUGUGCCCCUUUGAACAAGUUGAAUCAGUUAUUUCGUCUCGCAUACGCCCCAUAAAGAAGCCUAAUAGUAACCCCAUUUUAAACAAUAGAUGAACAUUGUGUUUGAAAUAAACGAUAAUAUGCUGAAAAAGGUAGAAAUCAGUUUUUGUAAAAAAUAGUUCAAUACUAAGAUAAAAAUAUAAUUUUGCCAAUUAAAUAUUCCUCGGAUAAGAAUCUAAAGGGGAUUUCCCAACGGAAACUUAGGGCAUUUGAUUGCAUUAGAUUAUGGAUAGGGAUUAUCCCAAUAAUAUAAAAAGGAUUUAACCAUUAACUUUAAUUAUUUAUUAUCGCACGCAGAAGGUAUAUCGUUCUGGUAUGAUGUCUCCAGACAGAUCAACUGACUCUUAGUGACCAAAGAUUUCACACUCUAGGCCCAUUUGACAAAAGGCCCUUGUUCAUUAAUUCCUUUCUGUUUCUUCUCUGAUUUUAUUUAUUAAAACCAUCCUAAACAUUUCGGUACUGUUUGACGAAAAAUUAUAAAAACUAUAACAUACUGAGAUGGAGUGAAAACAGUUAUAGACAGAUGAUUCAUUUUUAUCCACACAUAUCAAGCACUCUCACUGGAUUGUUUAAAACAAAUAUCAUUGGUAUUAGGUGUGUGAAUAAGUCUUUCCCGUUUUUUGUAAGAGAUGCCGCCACCAAUACUGUGCGAGUAUUCAAUGGUUACAUAUGUCAUAAUCAAAGCUUAUUCGUCUGUCAACGAUUCCACACUAACACAUUAGUUGAAAUUUUUUCGCAUCAUAAAUUUUUGAUAUCGUGAAAAUGUCGAAUUUUGAGCCGAGUCGACGUCAUUUGCGGGAAGUUUCACUUUAUUGGUUCAAUUUGAAGAAAUCUGCUGCCGAGGCGCAUCGAUUGCUUCAGGAAGCUUAUGGAGAAGGUUGUGUCGAUGAUUCAAGUGUUCGCGGAUGGUUUCGAAACUUCAAAAGUGGUGAUUUCGACGUGGAAGACAAGGAGCGUUCCGGGCGGCCGCAAAUCUUUGAAGAUCAAGAAUUGGCGACUUUGCUUGAUGAAGAUUCGUGUCAAACGCAAGAAGACGAUGGCCAAUACUUUCAAUAAUUCAUUUGUAACCAUUUUUUCACAAUAAAGGCUCAAAAUUUGAAAAAAACGGGAAAGACUUAUUCACACUCCUAAUACAAUUAUAUUUUUUUCUCAGUGAAGAACCUUGGUUUUCCGUCAUUUUUUUUUCAUCAUGCAAAAUCAUUGUUUUUUUAUUUAUUUAAGCUUGCUGAAACCUAUAGGUUUAGAAAGGUACAAAUAUAUAUUUACAGGAAUAAUUUGGAAUUUGCGAAUUUAGUUUUUCGUUAUGAUAUGUGUUGGAAUAUUUGAGUACAGUUCUUUCAUUGUCCUACAAAAAUCACUCGACACCUCUUUUACUUUCUGGGAAACAGCUCUACUAAGGGACUAAUUUACGAUCGGUUGUACUCCGCUUUCGAGACGGUUUAAUCCUAAACAUAUGCUGAAAUUUCAACAUAGGACUGUGUUCCUUUGAGUCAUAAAACUGUUUUUCUUUUCUCUGAGAGAGUUUUCCCUUUGAUAUAGUUUUUAGUCUCUGCACAACGGUCCUCUAAUUAAGACGUGCCUUCCUCGUGCUAAUAAAGAAUAUUCUAUAAAGUAUUUUCAAUAUGAUUAUAUUAGAGGCAUAUAUAAGUUUACACCAGUACUGUGAGGUCAUUGUUUCCUGGAGAGACCGUCUGCAUGGUCUUGCGCCGAAACCUCCAGUUUAUGUUUAUAGAAUGAAAAAAAGAAAUCAUUGUUCAUUGGAAGAAAGAAACCAU